ensembl:lncRNA
GUUAGAUGCCGUUGUGAGCUGCCACGAUGGUUCUGGAAAAAGAAGCUAGAUCCUUUGAUCUUAACCUCUGAGCCAUCUCUCCAGCCCCUUGUUUUAGAUUUUGAGCUAGGGUCUUGCAGUGGGCCCGGGCUUGUCUCAGGCUUGCAGCAGCCUCUCGCCGCCUCCACCUCUAGGAUCACGGGCACACUCAUCUUAGUCAGCUUACUAAGUUCAUUUUCAGGAGAGCGCAAUGAUGAAGCAAGUUCCUUGGCAUGUGCAGCCCAGGCCGUCCUCGAACUUUCCAGAGAGCUGGGCUCACUGUGUGGCUUUCUGCCCCUAGCUCCUAAUGUCCCGAGUGCAAGGAUUUCAUUUGUGUGCCACCAAACCUGGCUGAAAAUGACUUUUUUUUUUCCCCCUCCAAAACAGCAGUCUACUGCCUGGAUGAUCACGUGACUGACUUCUUGCCUUGUACCAUCCCCCGUCCUUCUGGGUGCCUGGAGUGGAAGGAUCUGCCUAAGACAGGCAAGACCGAAGUUUGAGGUAGACGAGCAGGCGAGCCGUUUGCCCGGGCGCAGAGCA